rnacentral:rRNA from 1 species
AACGAACGCUGGCGGCGCGCCUAAUACAUGCAAGUCGAGCGAGAAGGUGUAGCAAUACACUUGUAAAGCGGCGAACGGGUGAGGAAUGCAUGGGUAACCUACCCUCGAGUGGGGAAUAACUAGCCGAAAGGUUAGCUAAUACCGCAUACGUUUCCGGAACUUCGGUUUCGGAAAGAAAGCAAUACCGUGGGUAUUGCGCUCCUGGAUGGGCUCAUGUCCUAUCAGCUUGUUGGUGAGGUAACGGCUCACCAAGGCUUCGACGGGUAGCUGGUCUGAGAGGACGAUCAGCCACACUGGCACUGCGACACGGGCCAGACUCCUACGGGAGGCAGCAGUAAGGAAUAUUGCGCAAUGACGAAAAGUCUGACGCAGCGACG